rnacentral:rRNA from 1 species
UACUAUUGCCAUGCCACCCUGAACACACCGAUUCCGUCUGAUUUCAGAAGCUAAGCAGGGUCAGGCCUGGGUAGUACUUGGAUGAGAGACCACCUAGAAAGACCAGGUGCUACAGGUG